rnacentral:sRNA from 1 species
AGUUUAAUAAAUUUAACAAAUUACACUCAAAUAUCCAGGCAAUACUUGUCAGCCAUCCGAAAAACUCUAGUUCGAGGCCAUGGCAACAGGCAAUAGGGCCGCGACUGGGCCCGACCCUUGCGAUGGACAUGGACAAUUAAUCACAAAAAUACUAGGCCCAUAAAUUGUGAAAAAUGAAUCAAUGUGAAGCACAGACAGGCAACGUGGCUAAUGAAUGAAAUAGCCGACAAAGUGAAGUGAAAUGAAGUGUUGCGAAUUUAACGCCAAAUGCCAAUCCUCCCUGGGCAGAAGCCAUUGCCCAAUUGGGUGGCCUCCCUGUGGGAUCUGGAGGUCACUUGGAUGGCAUUUCAAAAGCAGCCACAGAAGUCAUCAAUCAGUGGUUAUUUUCCUAUGGGCACACCGUGCGUAUGCGUAAUGUCAGCAAUUGUCGUUUAAUGAAAGAAACAACGACAACCCCUGCAACAUUCUGCAUCCAUUUGGAGUGGCCUUGCCGUCGUCAUUCCGUUGGAAUUAAUGACUGAGCAAGUCGCACCACACACACUGUGGCAGACCCUCGUUCCGUUAUUGCAAGUCGAUAGUUCAGCGAGAAAAAAAACUGGUUACUGCACUGCACCACAUACUACCAGACCAGGAAACCGCCGGGCCCAUGUCUGUCGCCCCGGCUCCCCCUGCUGCUGCCUCUCCAACUAUCUAUCUGGGUUUCAAGUGCCGCCGCCCAUGACGCAGGGCAGUGACAGUGCCAGUCCCAGUACCAGUACCAGUCUUCAAGUUUUUCCCAUGGAUUGAAUGGGAGAGAUAAAGAUAGAGAGGGGGAGAGAGGAGGCAAUUGGGCGUGCACCUGAACUUGUGCGGCUGCGUAGACGCACUGGCUCGCUCAAGGCCGAUGGAGGUCGCAAAAUAUAGUGGUACUUGGUGAUAAAAUAUUCCAUGAACUUGCCAUACUCUUGAGAGUUAUUUGCUAAAGAACUUCGUUUAUGCAGACAAAUAGAUUCAACUCUUCAUGGAACUCCCGGAAAAAAACACAUUAAAUCUACUCAAAUUUCCAUAUUUAUUGCGUUGAAAACCAUCUUCAACGAAGCAUAUAAAGUAGUCCCAGCUUACACAGCAGUGAUAGAAGCAGAACUGAAGCAAAGAGGACUGCGCAGAAGAGAAGCAAACAGGAGUCCACUUAAUUCAGCUACCAUAUUCCCAUCCAUUUUACCAUUUCCAACAAAAUAACGCCCUACUUAAGGCUGUAAAAUGAGUAUGUCUUCCACUUGUACAAGUAUUUCACGAGCUCCGGCAAAACGUGGGCAGCAAAGGCAGCAGCUGUUCAGAAGUCAGAAAUAACAAAGCUCACAAAUUUACAGGAAAUUCUUUGGUCAUGACAACGAGAGCAGAGCUCAGACCAGCGCCCAGACAAGUUUCAUAGCUACACAAAAAAUAAAACAAAACAAAAAAAAAAC